AUUGAACGCUGGCGGCAGGCCUAACACAUGCAAGUCGAGCGGAUGAAGGUAGCUUGCUACCUGAUUCAGCGGCGGACGGGUGAGUAAUGCCUAGGAAUCUGCCUGGUAGUGGGGGACAACGUUUCGAAAGGAACGCUAAUACCGCAUACGUCCUACGGGAGAAAGUGGGGGAUCUUCGGACCUCACGCUAUCAGAUGAGCCUAGGUACGAUUAGCUAGUUGGGGAGGUAAAGGCUCACCAAGGCAACGAUCUAUAGCUGGUCUGAGAGGAUGAUCAGCCACACUGGGACUGAGACACGGUCCAGACUCCUACGGGAGGCAGCAGUGGGGAAUAUUGGACAAUGGGCGAAAGCCUGAUCCAGCCAUGCCGCGUGUGUGAAGAAGGUCUUCGGAUUGUAAAGCACUUUAAGUUGGGAGGAAGGGCAUUAACCUAAUACGUUAGUGUUUUGACGUUACCAACAGAAUAAGCACCGGCUAACUUCGUGCCAGCAGCCGCCGUAAAAC
rnacentral:rRNA from 1 species